rnacentral:lncRNA from 1 species
AAACUGUACGAACCAAAUAAAAACAUGGUGUAUACCGUAACUGGUAUGAAUUAAACAUAUGUUAGUGCUAAGCAACUUGUUUAGUUAAUUUCCUAAAAAUUAAAUGUGUGAGAAUUUAUGAGAUUAAGGAAAUACAAAUAAGAUUAGGAACUAACAAGUGAAUUAAGGAAAAAAAUUGCAGAUUGGUAAAAUAGAUGAAAUAAUGUUAAAAGACUAAACUAACCUAGUGUUGCGGGGGAACUACCAUGCAGCCGUGAGAGUUGUCUGAUAUUAGAAGUGGAAUUGUGUGGAGACCUUGGAUUUUAGACACCACCGACUGAUGAAGAGCUGGAGGGAUCAGCUACCUAGUUAUUAUCGACCGAGAGAGUGAUAGAAAAGUUGCAACCAGAGAGAGAGAGUUCUGCAUUUUCUUCUUGGGCGGCAAUAACCGAGAGAAAAUAGGGAGCCAACUAUUUUCUUCCUUCUAAACACUAAAGCUGAGGGCUAAGCUAGUGAUCGAUAGGAGGAGAAACUUUGCUAGUUCCAUCCCUGAUUAGCUUUCAGCUUUCACCGAGAGAAAGAGUGCAAGCUGUUGCAGUUCGAGGAAACCGAAGCUAAGAAUAGGAGCAGUCAACAAUUUGCUGUGUUUUAACGGAAAAGAGGUAAAAGAAUUUUUGUAGUAAUCCUUUAUUUACUAAAUACCAGUGAAUAUAUAAGAUGCAUGUUAGUUUUAGCAAGAAAUAAUGAGUUUUAACGGAAGGAAAUCUGAUAAAGAAGACAAGUUUGGAACUGGACUGAAGUUACAGGAACCGGGAGUAUAUUAUCGGAAGUUGCAGUCUGUUAUUAGCGCAAAAAUGGAAACUAAUGUGAGAAAUGCAAGAAUUAUGGUUAUCUCAGGUUUUAUAAGGGGUUUAGUUGAAAAACUAGGGAAAAGUUGGAAUUUUGGUAGAAACCGUGGGAAGACUUCUGCUGGAAUUUUUCCAGGUUAACCGAGGGGGGAAAUGGACAG